rnacentral:rRNA from 1 species
ACAUACGACCAUAGACUCAAGAGAGAGAAUUGGGCAUCAAUUGGGCAUCCCGUCCGCUCUGCCAUACACAAGCUUGAGAUCGGUGGAUUAGUAGUUGGGUGGGUGACCACCAGCGAAUACCCACUGUUGUAUGUU